CCUACGGGAGGCAGCAGUAGGGAAUAUUGCUCAAUGGGGGAAACCCUGAAGCAGCAACGCCGCGUGGAGGAUGAAGGUUUUAGGAUUGUAAACUCCUUUUGUUAGAGAAGAUUAUGACGGUAUCUAACGAAUAAGCACCGGCUAACUCCGUGCCAGCAGCCGCGGUAAUACGGAGGAUCCGAGCAUUAUCCGGAGUGACUGGGUGUAAAGAGUUGCGUAGGUGGCAUAAUAAGUAGCUAGUGAAAUCUGGUGGCUCAACCAUUCAGACUAUUAGCUAAACUGUUAAGCUCGAGACCGUUAGGGGUAACUGGAAUUUCUAGUGUAGGAGUGAAAUCCGUAGAUAUUAGAAGGAACACCAAUAGCGUAGGCAGGUUACUGGGACGGUUCUGACACUAAGGCACGAAAGCGUAGGGAGCAAACGGGAUUAGAUACCCUAGUAGUC
rnacentral:rRNA from 1 species